GAAAUGCGAUAAGUAAUGUGAAUUGCAGAAUUCAGUGAAUCAUCGAAUCUUUGAACGCACCUUGCGCUCCUUGGUAUUCCUUGGAGCAUGCCUGUUUGAGUAUCAUGAAAUCUUCAAAGUAAAUCUUUUGUUAACUCAAUUGGUUUCUACUUUGGUAUUGGAGGUCUUUGCAGCUUCACACCUGCUCCUCUUUGUUCAUUAGCUGGAUCUCAGUGUUAUGCUUGGUUCCACUCGGCGUGAUAAGUUAUCUAUCGCUGAGGACACUGUAAAAGGUGGCCAAGGUAAAUGCAGAUGAACCGCUUCUAAUAGUCCAUUGACUUGGACAAUACUUUUAUGAUCUGAUCUCAAAUCAGGUAGGACUACGCGCUGAACUUAAGC
rnacentral:misc_RNA from 1 species